GGCCUCGCAGCUCAGCUGGUAGAGCGCUUGCCGUGCUGAGGCAUGAUGUGUCCGUCGCUGGUUUGAAUCCAGCCGAAACCC
rnacentral:tRNA from 1 species